AUGGGAAUGAGGUCAGCAAGGCCAAGUUGUCCCUUCGAGGCGGAAAAGUACUUUCUCCGGGUCGGUGUUCCAUACAAGAGUCCUGGAACAAAGAAUGAAUAAAUACUGGCAUUUCGAUGGCGGCAGUGUUAACUUAAUUUGCUUUCUGUCAGUGGAUACAGACAGAGAGUAGUGCUAACUUCGUGCCCCUGGGAAUCUCGUGCAUUGCACAAGGCAGCUGUGUAGAACUACUCCUCCCCGUUAUCCCCAUGUCUGCGUGGGUUUCUUCCAGGUGCUCCAGUUUCCUCCCACAUUCCAAAGACGUACGGGUUAGGAAGUUGUGGGCAUGCUAUGUUGGCGCCGGAAGCGUGGCGACACUUGCGGGCUGCCUCCAGAACACUCUACGCAAAAGAUGUAUUUCACUGUGUGUUUCGACGUACAUGUGACUAAUAAAGAUAUCUUAUCUUAUAUC